CACAGUCGAGGAAAAGAGAGAGAGAGAGAGAGAGAGAGAGAGAGAGAGAGAGAGAGAGAGAGAGAGAGGAGAGACACAAUAAAGCAUUUAUAUAUGGAUGGUUCAUGGUGGGGAAGAGGGAGAGAGGAUUCAGUCACGAGGCUUUUCCCUUUCUUCCCUAAAAACAUGCAUGUUUUGCCUCGUGCCCAUCUCUUUCAAUUUCUCUCUGUCCCUCUCUUUCUCUCUCCAUCUAUAUGUCCCAUAUAUAUAUAUAUAUAUAUAUAUGAAGCUUCAGGGUUCUUCAUCAUCGAAAGGAUUUUCCCAACAGAUUCAAUUUGCCUACUAUGCUGGUUUGAGAGAUUGAAGCUGCCAGCAUGAUCUGGUGAUUGAUGAACCUGCCUAGCUCUCUAUUGAUUCUUCAGAAAAACCAUAUAUAUGUAUAUAGUGUGCAUACAAUGAUGGGGGACCCAAAAUUGGUACAUGUUUAUUUAUUUAUUUUUUUGUUUAUUUGUUUUUAGAUCUUGGUUUUAUGAUUGUGAAAAUUAGAUGGGUUUUUGGAGAUGUGGGUUUUUGUGAGUAGUAAAGCUAAUGGCCGGGAAAAAAAAAAAGAAAAAGAAAAAAAAAAGAUAAGAAAAAAAAAAGGAAAAAAAAAGAAAGGAAAAUAGGGGAAAAGUAUUAGAAUCCUCAUUUAGGAUUAGGAGCCUAUAGUUUCUAUAGUAUUCUCCCUUGGCUAUCAGGUCAUCUUGCAGCUUCAAUCACUCAAUCACCAACAAUUAAAUACAAUUCUUCAAUAUUCUGGUCUCUGAGAGAUACAGGUACACACGCAUCUGCCCCUCACAAAUGAAAGGAUAUUGAUGGACAACUCUCUCAGGUAGAGCAAGGAAAACUACUUGCCCUUCAACAGAAAGUGCAUUAUCCCCUAACAAAAUUAAAUAACGGCGACGAUGAUUGCACAGCCAACCUCGGAAAAUAAAGCCUCCAGCACCCCUUCUGGUGUUCAUGUUGAAAGUGGUGAAGAUUGUUUCUGUCUAUUUUUGUUGUAUUAAUAUUGGAAAGAAUGGGAAUAAUUAUGUAUGAUGCUAAUUAGUAAUUAAUCUUCCCACAUAUUUAUAUCUUA